rnacentral:lncRNA from 10 species
CUCGUCGGGGAGGCUCAGGCUGCGCAGGCGCCCACCGCGGGGAGGCGGGGCGGGGAGACUGAGGCAUGGCGGGAUGCAGGUCCCAAGCCCUUCCCCGCGGGGAGGCAGCUAAGGCCCGGCAAGAAAUCGAGCACAGCAGCUGCUAGCGCAGGUGCUAAGCCCCUCACUGCCCGGGGCUUGCGGGCCGGCCUGCUGCUCCGAGUGCUGGGCCAGCCGAGCCCACGCCCCCCCGGAACUGGCGCUGGCCCGCAAGCGCCGCGCGCAGCCCCAGUUUCCGCCCGCGCCUCUCCCUCCACGCCUCCUCGCAAGCUGAGGGAGUCGGCUCCGGCCUUGGCCAGCCCAGAAAGGGGCUCCCACAGUGCAACGGUGGGCUGAAGGGCCAGAGUGGGCGCCAAGGGCGAGGAGGCGCCGAGAGCGAGUGGGGGCUGCCAGCACGGUGUCACCUCUCACCAGUAGUUGUGAUUUUUGCUGUCACCCCCAUGGAUUAUGAAUUCACUUUGUCUGGGUAACAGUGGAAACCCUCGGAAGUUGUUUCCACUGUUUCAUCUAAAAGAAGUCGCCAAAACGAAGUUUUCUCAGUGCCAAAGCAUGGACUCAGCGCAUCAAUUGCCUUCUUGCCCCCAUGGUUUCUUCUGGGAAAACCCACCGUUAAUCUUAUUGAGGAUCUCUCUGCUAAUGUGACCCGUUAUGCUCUAGUCAUCUGAGGGCCAAUGAGAACAAAGAGGGCAGUUUGAACUAGAAUAAAACUGCUGCAAUCACCUUCCCCCAGAUCAACAUAGAGAUAAAAGGCACAAUUUCCCAGUUCUCAGCUUCUUCCUGGAGAUGGAAAGAUUGGAGCAGAGUGUCUAAUGAUGCACCUUCUCUGAAGCCUUCCUGAGAAACUGGCUUCAUUCUUGCUUGUCUUGAAGCACUGAGGGGACCUGCAAUACUCUAGAUGCUAGGAACAAAGAAAGUGGUGUGGCCUAGCAUUAAGGUUUGAGAGACCUCCAGAAUGUCUGAAUAGGGUAAUUGGUAAGAGUUUUCUCCUGUGAAAGGCCAGUGCUUGAAGACUGAGAGAGGUGACUCUUUUGUCUAAUGUGUUAACAGCAACACAGAGAAUCAAAAAAAUGAGGAAACAAGAAAAUUUGUUCCAAACGAAGGAAAAAGAUAAAUUUCAAGCAACCAAUCGUAAUGAAAUGAGGAUAUAUGAUACACAUGACAGAAUUGAAAAUGGCUGUUAUAAAACUGUUCACAAAUGGAAAACACUAUAUUUAAAGAAGUACAGCUAAUAUGCUGAGAAGAAGAGAAAAGAGGAUCAUAUUAAUUUUUCACUAAAACCAUAAAAGACUGAAUGAGAAAAAUAGGAACUAAGAACAAGGGAAACAAAUAGAAAACAGUAACAAAUAUGGGGGCUUGACAUAUUCUAGUCUCCUGGGGGCUAGAAAGAACAAGUGGUUGGUUUAAACUAGCAUAGGAUACUUGCCACAACUUUUCCCCCAAGCUUAGUACAGAUAUUAAUACAACUAUACUAGUAAUCACAUUGGAUGUCAAUGGUCUAAAUGCACCAAUUCAUACACAGAGAUUGUCAAAAUAGAACAAAAAUCAAGAGCUAAAUACGGGUUGUGUGUAAGGAGCCCACUUUAAAUAUAAAGAUACAUAUAGAGUCAAAGAAAGUGGAUGGAGAAAGAUAUGCUAUGCCAACACUAAAUAAAAUAAAUUGGGAGUAGCUAUGUUAAUUUCAGAAAGAGCAGACUUUAAGGAAAGUUAUCAGGGGAAAACAGGGAGAUUACAUUUUUUACAACUUUUAUUUUAGGUUCUGGGUUAUGCGUGCAGAUUUGUUAUAUACAUAAACUGCAUGUCUCAGAGGUUUGGUGUACACAGUAUAUCUGCACCCAGGUAAUAAGCAUAGUGCCCAAUAGGCAGUUUUUUGAUCCUCUCCUUUCUCCCAGUCCUCUACUCUCAAGUUAUCCCUGGGGUCUCUUGUAUCCCUCUUUGCAUCCAUGUGUUCUCAAAUUUUAGCUUCCAUGUAUAAAUGAGAACAUGCAAUAUUUGUUUUUCUGUUCCUGUGUGAUUUUAAUUAGAUUAAUGGCCUCCAGCUCCAUCCAUGUUGCUGCGAAGGGUAUAAUCUUGUGUUUUUAUGACGGCUUAGUUUAUACACCACAUUUUUAAAAUCCAGUCUGCUGUUGAUGGGCAUUUAGUUUGAUUCUAUGUCUUUGCCACGGUGAAUAAUAUUGUGAUGGACAUAUGUGUGCAUGUGUCUUUAUGGUAGAACUACCAUAAAGACAUGAGUAGAUGCCCAAUAUGGGUAAAUACCCAGUAAUUGAAUUGCUGGGUGAAAUGGUAAAUAAGCCCUAGUAUUUGAGAGCACUGAAAGGGGAUUCUAGUCAAUAAUUAUUUAAUUGUACAUUUAAAAAUAACUAAAAGAGUAUAAUGGAAUUGUUUGUAACACAAAGGAUAAAUACUUGGGGUGGAUACCCAAUUUUCCAUGAUGUGAUUAUUAUGCAUUGUAUGGCUGUAACAAAUAUCUCAUGUAUCUCAUAAAUAUAUACAUCUAAUAUGUACCAACAAAAUUUAAAAAUAAAAUAAAUUAAUAAAAUGAGACAUUACAUAAUGGUAAAGAGAUCAGUGCUCCAAAGAGAUGUAACAAUCCUAACAUGUGUGAGUCUAAAAACAGAGCAUCAAAAUACAUAAGACAAAAUCUAACAGAACUUCAAGGAAAAAUGGAUGAAUCUACUAUUAUUUGGAGAUUUUAACAUCCAUCUUUCAGAAAUGAACAAGCCAAACCAGCAGAAAAUUGGAAAGAGCAUAGUUAAACUCAAAAACUCUAUCAAUCAACAGAAUGAAAUGUAAAUAUCUAAGCUACUUCAUCCAACAUCAGAAUACACAUUCUUCUCAACCUCACGUGAAACAUUCACCAGGAUAGAUAAGAUUCUGGACAAUGAAACACAUAUUUAAACAGUUAAAAUAUGAGAUAUUAUACAAUGUCUCCUCUUAGACCACAAUGAAAUGCAAUUAGACAUCAAUGACAAGUGCUCACUGAAGUCAGGUAAAAAAUGCAUGCACAAAUUUAAAGCAGUAAGACAUGGCAUGAGAACAUAAGAGAUUUUUUAAAAACAUUUUAAAAGGUAUCAAACAGAAAUCGUGGAGCCUAAUUGAACUGAACUGAAAAUUUCACUAGAGAUGUUCAAGAGCAGACUAGAUUAAGUAUAAGAAAAAAUUAGCAAACUCAAAGACAGUUUAUUGGAAAUAAUUAAGUCAGAGAAAUGAAAAUAAAAAAAUGAGUAAAGAAAGCUUAAAGGAUUUAUGGGACGGUAUAAAGUGGACUAAUAUACACAGCAUGGAGUCCCAGAAGGAGAAAGGACCAGAAAUUUUAUUCAAACAAAUAAUGGUUGAUAACUUUCCAAAUCUGGGGAAGAAAACGGACAUACAAAUCCAGGAAGCCAGAGGACUUGAUAUAAAAAGAAUACAGUGAAAUUUAUACCCAGAUAUAUAAUCAAAUUGCCAAAAAUUAAAGACAUAAAAAGUUUUGAAAGAAGCAAGAGAAAAGUGACUUAUCACAUACCUCUAUAAGUUUAUAAGAAGGAUUUUCUGCAGAAAUCUUAUAGGCCAGAAGAGAGUGGGAUGAUAUAAAAAGUGAAAAAAAAAAACCUUGCAUAUCAAGAAUACUGUACUUGGGAGAACUAUCCCUCAAAAAUGAAGGAAGAGAGAAUUUCCCUGACCAAAAAAAAAGUUAAGUUUGUUCACCACAACUAAACCUGCCUUGCAAGAUAUACUAAAGUAACUUCCCAAUCAAAAGAUAUAGGAUGGCUGAACAGAUUUUUAAAAAAUAAGAUUUAACUAUAUACUGUCUAUAAGAGAUUUACUUUGGAUUUAAGAAGACACAUAGGCUGAAAAUAAAAGAAUGAGAAAAGAUAUUACAUGCAAAUAAAAACCAAAAGAGAAUGAGGGUGGCUAUAUUGAUAUCUGAAAAAAUAUAUUGCAAGUCCAAAACUUUAGCAAUAGACAAAGAAGAACAUUACAUAAUAAAAAUGGAUAGUUCACCAGAAAUAGUUGACAAUUAUAAAUAAAUAUGCACCAAUCAUCAGAGAACAUAAAUAUAUAAAGCGAACAUUGAUGGGACUGACAAGAGAAAUAGCAAUACAAUGAUAGGAGGAGAUUUCAAUACUCCAUUUCAAAAAUGGAAAAAAAAAUCCAGACAGAUGAUCCAUAUGGAAGCAGAGGACUUGAAUAACACUAUAAAACAAGUGGACCUAACAGAAAUAUAAAUAAUAUAACACAGAACAGUAGCAGAAUGCACAUUCUUCUCAAGUUCAUAUGAAUCUUUCCCCAGGAUAGAUUACACGUUAGGUGACAAAAUAAGUUUAACAAACUUAAGAAGAGUAAAAUCAUAACAAGUAUAUUUUAUAUAAAAAAUGAAAAAAAAUCAUGGCCAUGUGGAUUUUUAAAUUUUUAUUGUUUUAUUUUUAUGGGUACAGAGUAGUUGUAUAUAUUUUAGGUGAUAUAGGGUUUGGAUUUGUGUCCCUGCUCAAAUCUCAUGUCAAAUUGGAGGAGGGAUGUGGUGGGAGGUGAUUGGAUUAUGGGGUCAGAUAUCCCCCUUGCUCUUCUUGUGAUAGUGAGUGAGUUUUCAUGAGACGUGAUGGUUUAAAAGUGUGUAACACGUCCCCCCUCACUCACUCUCUCUCCUGCCAACAUGUGAAGAUGGUCAUUGCUUCCUGUUCACCUCCUGCCAUGAUUGUAAGUUUCCUGAUGCCUGCAAGUCAUGCUUCCUGUUAAGCCUG